rnacentral:misc_RNA from 1 species
UUGAGCAUGACGUCAUCGUCCUGUCGGGCGUCCUCACAAAGUACCUGCAUUCAGAGAAUCAUGUCGGCCAGGCCGAUAUGAGAGUCCCUUUUGGGGCCUUAGCUCAGCUGGGAGAGCACCUGCUUUGCAAGCAGGGGGUCGUCGGUUCGAUCCCGACAGGCUCCACCAUACUGGGCUGUGUACCGGAAAGUAUUUCCGGGUCUGUAGCUCAGGUGGUUAGAGCGCACCCCUGAUAAGGGUGAGGUCGGUAGUUCGAGUCUACCCAGACCCACCAUUCUCUGAAUGACGCAUACAUUCGAUCUUUAUACGCAUCAGCACUGUGGCUGGUACGUGUUCUUUUAAAACUUGUGACGUAGCGAGCGUUUGAGAUGUUCUAUCAGACGUGUCGUGAGGCUAAGGCGAGAGACGCAAGUCUCUUUAUUGAUUGAGUCGUUAUAUUCGUAUCCGGGCUUUGUACCCCCGGGUCACAUGUAUAACCCAAGGCAACUUGCGGUUAUAU